rnacentral:RNase_P_RNA from 1 species
CGCCGGGACGUUCGCGUUUCGGUGAGGAAAGUCCGGACUCCGCCGGGCAAGGGUGCCAGGUAACGCCUGGGCGGCGCGAGCCGACGGAAAGUGCAACAGAAACAUACCGCCCGCAGUGCUGCGGGUAAGGGUGAAAUGGUGCGGUAAGAGCGCACCGGUGUCCUGGAGACAGGGCAGCCGUGCAAACCCCACCCGGAG